UUGGGAUUAAGCUUCAGCACUGUCUCCAGGAGAGAAAGCUAUCUCUGCAAAAGGAACUUUUAUUCCACACCUAUUCAGAGCUCCAUUUUGAUCAGCCUGGGCCUAUGUGCCCACCUUGAGAGCAGGGAUACCAGGAGAGUUCCAGUUUGCUGCUGAUGUGUCCCAGCUUACAAUAACAGUGAUAAUAAGGACCAUUUGUGAAGCACAUAAUUCUAUGUUCUUUGAACAUUGUUGCAUCGACUCUCACAAUAACAAUAUAAGGGAGCUGUGAUCUGAAGGCUCAACAGGGGAGUCUCCAUAAAACCCGUGACAAUGCUGAUGAGAGAGCACCACUUCACACUCCUGCCCGGCCUGAAGAACACGAGGCUGUCCUAAUACAGCACCAAUCAGAGAGAAGCGUCCUAUCCUCUCUCCCCUUCUUGCUUUCCUCCUUACUUUGUACCCCUACCUCACCUCAGUUUUGACUCUGAUGGAGAAAGAGACCAGUCUGGCAAGCCAGGAAAAGAGGAAAAACUCUAAGAAGAAAUGUUAUCAUCAAAUGAAAAUUGAGGUAUAGAUUGAUAUGUUGGAAUAGACAGUUCUUGUAUGAGUGUGUAUGUGUUUUGUUUUUAACUUUUUGUUUUGAAUUGAUUUAGUUUCAG